rnacentral:sRNA from 1 species
GUGGGCUGGUCCCCAGCGGCUGCCUCCCCGAACAGCUGCUGCUCGAGGGAGGAAGCGGCGCGGGUGCUGUCCAGCAUCCCGGUGCUGAAAACCGGAGGGCUCGUCAUCCACCACUACCAUGUAAGGGCCAUGAGAAGGGCUCGUCCUGGCACAGCGCGGACAUGGAGGAGGACUUAUUCCAGCUAAGGCAGCUGCCGGUUGUGAAAUUCCGUCGCACAGGCGAGAGUGCAAGGUCAGAGGACGACACGGCUUCCGGAGAGCAUGAAGUCCAGAUUGAAGGGGUCCGCGUGGGCCUAGAGGCUGUGGAGCUGGAUGAUGGGGCAGCUGUGCCCAAGGAGUUUGCCAAUCCCACCGAUGAUACUUUCAUGGUGGAAGAUGCGGUGGAAGCCAUUGGCUUUGGAAAAUUUCAGUGGAAGCUGUCUGUUCUCACUGGCUUGGCUUGGGCAAGUAUUUUUGGGGGGCAGUGGCUCAGCCUCCAAGAAACCCCCAUGCUGCUCAGCUGGGUUUCCAUGGUCUACAAGGAAGGACACAGUUCUUUCCACAUGGAGCCUUUGCUUGAAUUCCAAUCAACAAAAUUUAUGAGGCGUGAUAAGUGGU